rnacentral:rRNA from 1 species
GAACGUCGUGAGACAGUUCGGUCCCUAUCUGUCGUGGGCGUAGGAUAUUUGAAAGGAGCUGUCCCUAGUACGAGAGGACCGGGAUGGACGCACCUCUGGUGUAUCGGUUGUCGCGCCAGCGGCACGGCCGAGCAGCUAUGUGCGGAACGGAUAAACGCUGAAGGCAUCUAAGCGUGAAACCGCCCUUAAGAUAAGAUAUCCCAUCGUAAGAGUAAGACCCCUUGUAGACUACGAGGUUGAUAGGCUUAAAGUUUAAGCGUCGCGAGGCGUUCAGCUUGCAAGUACUAAUCGGUCAAGGGCUUGACCUU